UUUCCACGGCCCCGGCCACUCCACAUCAAUGGCCGGACAAGCUGUGAAAAAAAGGAGGAUAAAACCGGCCCGGACUCGGGCUGCGGCAGAGUGGAGACCUGUCGCAACGCGGAGCAGCCUGAAGCGGCUGACCGCGAGCACACAGCAAGCGGAGGCUCUGUGUGCAGAGUCGAGAAACAUGGCA
rnacentral:ncRNA from 1 species